rnacentral:rRNA from 1 species
AUUGAACGCUGGCGGCAGGCUUAACACAUGCAAGUCGAGCGAGUGGCGGGCGGGUGAGUAAUAUAUGGGACUGUGCCUUAUAGCGGGGGAUAACUACUAGACAGUGUCUCUAAUCCCGCAUACUCUUGGAUCUGCCUAUAUGGGAUUAGCUAGUUGGUGGGGUAAUGGCUCACCUAGGCCACGAUCCCUAGCUGGUCUGAGAGGAUGACCAGCCACACUGGGACUGAGACACGGCCCAGACUCCUACGGGAGGCAGCAGUGGGGAAUAUUGCACAAUGGGCGCAAGCCUGAUGCAGCCAUGCCGCGUGUAUGAAGAAGGCCUUAGGGUUGUAAAGUACUUUCAGCAGGGAGGCGUUACCGGCAGAAGAAGCACCGGCUAACUCCGUGCCAGCAGCCGCGGUAAUAC